rnacentral:tRNA from 1 species
GCCUUCGUGGUGUAGUGGUCAGCACACUCGGCGCGUAUUCGAGAGGUCCGUGGUUCGAGUCCCGAAGAGGGCA